UCCAGACUCCUACGGGAGGCAGCAGUGGGGAAUCUUCCGCAAUGGGCGAAAGCCUGACGGAGCAACGCCGCGUGAUCGAAUGAAGGCCUUCGGGUUGUAAAGAUCUGUUGAUAGGGACGAAUAAGCAAUGCGAAUAGUUUUGUGUAUGACGGUACCUGUUUAGAAAGCUCCGGCUAACUACGUGCCAGCAGCCGCGGUAAUACGUAGGGAGCAAGCGUUGUCCGGAAUCAUUGGGCGUAAAGAGUUCGUAGGCGGCAUGUAAAGUCAGGUGUUAAAGGCGCAGGCUCAACCUGUGUAUGGCACUUGAUACUUGCAAGCUGGAAUGCGGUAGAGGUAAAGGGAAUUCCUGGUGUAGCGGUGAAAUGCUUAGAUAUCAGGAGGAACAUCGGUGGCGUAAGCGCUUUACUGGGCCGUAAUUGACGCUGAGGAACGAAAGCCAGGGUAGCAAAUGGGAUUAGAUACCCCGGUA
rnacentral:rRNA from 1 species